AGCGAACGCUGGCGGCAGGCCUAACACAUGCAAGUCGAACGAACUCUUCGGAGUUAGUGGCGGACGGGUGAGUAACACGUGGGAACGUGCCUUUUGGUUCGGAAUAACUCAGGGAAACUUGUGCUAAUACCGAAUGUGCCCUUCGGGGGAAAGAUUUAUCGCCAUUAGAGCGGCCCGCGUCUGAUUAGCUAGUUGGUGAGGUAACGGCUCACCAAGGCGACGAUCAGUAGCUGGUCUGAGAGGAUGACCAGCCACACUGGGACUGAGACACGGCCCAGACUCCUACGGGAGGCAGCAGUGGGGAAUCUUGCGCAAUGGGCGAAAGCCUGACGCAGCCAUGCCGCGUGAAUGAUGAAGGUCUUAGGAUUGUAAAAUUCUUUCACCGGGGACGAGAAUGACGGUACCCGGAGAAGAAGCCCCGGCUAACUUCGUG
rnacentral:rRNA from 1 species